rfam:Gossypium arboreum cultivar AKA8401 contig_28778_3, whole genome shotgun sequence.
UGUUAAAAGAUUCAUCCAUUUCUACUGUUAAAAACUAGCACGAAUAAUAGAAUAAUCGGACAGUUACACAAGAUGUGCCACGUGUACCUUAUACUAUAGUACAAACCAGUUUAUAACAGUAAAAUUGGACGAGAGUUUUAACA